CCUAGGGUAGCUGCAGUGGGGAAUAUUGGGCAAUGGGCGCAAGCCUGACCCAGCAACGCCGCGUGAAGGAAGAAGGCUUUCGGGUUGUAAACUUCUUUUCUCAGGGACGAAGAAAGUGACGGUACCUGAGGAAUAAGCCACGGCUAACUACGUGCCUGCAGCCGCGGUAAUACGUAGGUGGCAAGCGUUAUCCGGAUUUAUUGGGUGAAAAGGGCGUGUAGGCGGGAGCGCAAGUCAGAUGUGAAAACUCAGGGCUCAACCCUGAGCCUGCAUUUGAAACUGUGUUUUUUGAGUGGUGGAGAGGCAAUCGGAAUUCCGGGUGUAGCGGUGAAAGGCGUAGAUAUACGGAGGAACACCAGUGGCGAAGGCGGAUUGCUGGACAGGAACUGACGCUGAGGCGCGAAAGCGUGGGGAGCAAACAGGAUUAGAUACCCUUGUAGU
rnacentral:rRNA from 1 species